GAAGAACAAGCGAGGAGUGCGUGGGACCGGGGGUAAGGUAUGAGUGUGAGUCCUGUCCCUGGUCAGGGGGCAACGGACAGGGGAAAGCGUCUAGCUGUGUGAUCCUUUGCUCUUUACAUCCCAGGUUUUCCUCGUCGUUCAUAAUGUGUCACCCAGUAAAGACGGAACCUGGUCACAGGAAGUUGCUGGUGUUGUCUCUAGACCUGGUUCACCUCAGUUGCUUUCUCGUCCCACCGUGACCCUGUUUUGGUUAGUCUCCUGUUUACUGCCCCUGGGACCACAAUGUCACCAACACCCCACCUGACCCCCCCCCCCCCCCACCUGACACCCCCCACCUGCCCCUCUACACAUCUGCACACCGCCCCACCGUCAGCAGCCUGUCAGAGUGGCACACAUGGCUAACGCACCCCCUGGACCCUUCACAUCAGCGGGGACAAUCGCCAUUGUCUUGUCAGCUCCCAUCACCCUAUGCCCAGAACACAGUGAGAUAUCAUCCUGGGAAAUCUGUACCAGGAAGAGACAGGGAGGAAAGAGCGCAACCGAGAGGGAGGGGGGACCGAGGACCCUCCUGAUCGUUCCCCUGCCCUGAAGAUUCAGAGCCCCUGCCGGGCAGAACUGGGAAAGUGCACACACUGGCGGUGCCGGGAGAGCCCGUCGGGGUCCCGUCCAUGCCUCUCAAUGUCCUGUUGUUUGUUGUUGUCUUACUCUAUGGAAGGGGCAAACGGCACAGGUAUCAUCAGCAAGGUCGACACACUCGUGUUGAACAGAGCCGCCUCUGUCCGUGACACCUCAGCGGCCAGACUCAGGUCACAAGAGACAAAGGGCCCCAGCAGGAAGGACGAGGGGGGAACCAGGGCAGGACAAGGGGCUGUUUCUGUCUGGGUUGGCCGCAUGUUGCCGAAGGCAUCAGUGGGAAGAUACAGAGUUCCAGUAAGGUCAUACUUAAGAAAACGCAAAACUAAACAAGCACUGGCCUACAAGAGUGAACACCUAUGACACCCCAUCUGAGAUUUACAGGCUGCUGGCACUAGCGAUAUUGACAUUGUGACACAUGGAUCGUUUUGGCUCCAGGGUGUCUUCAUGAGGAGGCUGAGCCUCUGGAAAGCCUCAAGGACCAACACAGCCAGGGGCCAAAGCUGAAAGGCUAGCAAAGGCACCAGGAUGACGCCAGGCUAAAACCUUAGCUUUCCUCUAUUAGAAAGAAGCCCUGCGAUUCCACAUGAGUAUAUGACUCAUGGAAGACAAAACGCUGCUGACUUUUCUAAACAGUGACACUCACCUACAGCAUGCUGUCCCCAGAGAAGGGCCUUUUUGUCCCACAUGUAUUUUAGUCUAGCGACCUCUGGAAGGUGAAUCCUAACCCCAGUGCUGACAUAGCACGAGCCUGGAUUGCCUCAGCUGUGUUGGACAGCUAAUAGCCCAUUAAAGCUGUCAAAGGCUUAACAUUAUGCCUCAGUUUCUUAACAGUGGACAAUGUAAAUACUACAGAACAGCGGGACAGAGGAGCCAUCGUGGGGUGUAUAUCUCACAACCACCAUUUCGGUGGUUGUAGGUGCUGGAUCAAACCAAUUCUAAUCAGGGGGAAUUGAGUUCACCUCACUGAUAGCACACAGUGGGAAUUGCCAGGUGUGGACCAUCAGCACAGUGUCACACUCGGUCUCUACUAAUCACAUUGGAUAUGGACCUCUCAAAAAGCUGAUUGACUGUUCUUUGUGAAACUUCCUUAAACACAAGCAUUCUGCAACAGGUUAUCUGAAUGCAAUCUGGUUGACAUACACUACUUGGGUUCCAUCCUUAGCAAUAUAGUCAGAUAUAAAUAUAUAUUUUCUUUUUUGGUACUGUGUUCAGAUUUGUUCUGUCCAAAAUGUAGCGUUCGACUGAUGAAAGAUGAAGUACUUCCUGAUUUGAAACUGGAGGCCACAAACUCCUGACCACCAGAAAAUGUCCUGUGUUUUGAAGUUUGUGCUUUUUGGGUUAAAAUGUAUACACUCAUGUAUCAAUGUCAAAAAAUGCAUUGUACUCAAGUGCUUUGGCAACACGUUAGUUAACGAUGAUGAUUGAAGAUUUGUGAUUCCUGUGCAGCCUAUAUCUGCAAAUCAUGUGUUCUUCCAUACUUUGGUAUUGGUAAUAGACUCCCUUUGAUUGCUAUGUACUUGUGUGUAUAUAUACUGUACCACUUGUCUGCUGUGAAAAAUGUUGAAUACGUGGUUUAUAUAAGGGCUUUUUAUAGACUUAAACAGAAGAAAACACAACCUUCUCUCUUUUUGCAUUGAGUGAGUGAGAGCAACCAGCUCUCCUGGCCUGCUGUCUGCGUCACCCAGAUUUCAGAGUCCAAAUUAUCUUGUUUUGACACAAUUUGGUGAUUUAGCUGAAACUGUCUCAAUGGGAUGUUAGCUGGCAGAUGUGUUUCGGACCCCUGGAGUGUGUGAGUUUAUCUGACAUCAUGUAACAAUAUAGAGGGGAGGCCUAUUUGUAAUUCUAGCUGCAAAAAGACCUACAGUAAUUUCUACAGUACCACUGCCCCCCCCCCCCCCCCCAACUACACCAUGUGUGUCAGGACCAUUACUGGUUCUCUGUUUCUGAACCUUACAAGAGGGUCCAGUUAGAGCCAACAGCAAGCUUCAGUUAUGAACCAUAGACCCCCCCCAUUCCCAGGCACAAUCCAACAGUGUCAGCGGACGGGUUUUUGACACCCAGGAAGAAGCCAUAUAGAAGACCUUAAUUGACAUCCUAAACCUAUAAUCUAUCAAGCACCCUGCAAUACCUGUAGACAUGGUCAAUAAAACAAGCCAAUUAUUAUUCAGUCUGAAAUUGGAUUGUUUGAAAUGAAAUAGCCAUCUAAUUUAAUUUAUAUUCAAAUCAUUGGAAGGUCCAUUGCUAACCUAAAUCUAUAUUUAAUGAAUCCGAAAAUUGGUUUGGACACCUCUAAUAUGCCCAGUCUGUCUAGAUAGAACCGAGAUACAAGGUAAUUAAGGUGCUGGAACAUUGCAUGUUUUGAUGCUAAAUUAUAUUAGCUGAGCUGAUGGGCCUGUACUAAUUAUACCGUUCUGACACCUGAAAUGAAUCCCCGUUGUUGCAGGUGUUACGUUCUCUAUUCACAUGUACAUUUUAUAAUGCCGUAGUUUAUUCAUAGUUAAUGACUAGAGACGUGUACAAGAUGUAAAUAGUAUACAGUGUAUACACCAAAACACAUUCCCCCAGACGUCUACCAAACACCAAAAGAGAACCACAAGGACAAAACAAAUGGUCAGCCUCUUUGUAUAUUAGGUUCAAGGCAAUCAGUCACACUGGAUAAAAAAGGCAAGAGGCAACAAAAGAUCAAAUCUGAAUUUCAACACUUUAGUUUGUGGGGUCAGUAUUCAGCAGAGGCCAACUAUUUGGAGGUGUGGGUUGGUAGAUGUAGUAAUACUGUCCUGUGAGUUAGCCCAGGUCAAGUGGUCCCACAGCACACCAAGGCAAAGAGACCAGGGCCAGCUGUCACUGAUGUUGACUUCAUUAUGGCUCCAGGGCCUGGACUGACUCCAUCAGAGAGAGCAAAUAGCGAGGCGCCACAAAACACUUCCCCAAACGCCUCUCCUUUAGUCUUUCUCUCUUUGUCCCUCUAUUUCAAUCCUCCCAGUCCAGUAGCGGACAACCUGAGGUCCCGUCCUGAAUUUGGAUGGUUAUGUUCAGGUCAAAACACUCUGAAAUACACAGCAGCAUUUGGCUGGUGUAAAAGGUUAACAUCACAACAAUAAAUGCAGCAGAUUAGUUGACAAGAGAGUUCUAGGGGACUAGUGAGUUCUAGGGGACUAGAGAGUUCUAGGGGACUAGAGAGUUCUAGGGGACUAGAGAGUUCUAGGGGACUAGAGAGUUCUAGGGGACUAGAGAAUUCUAGGGGACUAGAGAGUUCUAGGGGACUAGAGAGUUCUAGGGGACUAGAGUGUUCUAGGGGACUUAAUAACUAAAAAUACAUCCCUUCUACCCAACCUUAACCUCUGUUCUAUGCAGAUUAAAUUGUUCUCAUAGCAACAUCAAGAUCCCUUUCUUCCUUUGCUGUUUACGUACACAUUAUGAGGGGUUAUCAUUAAUGAUUAUGAUGAUAAUGACAAUAAUGAUGAUUGUUUAAAUUUUGACAGCACUAAUUGCUAUUAUUUCUGAGGAAGAAACAAGGUCAAACCCAAUUGUCUUGGUUUUAAAGCAUCUCUUUUUAGAGGAAACCUUACUAAGUGUUCUUUGAAUGAACUUGAUAAAAAAUUAAAAUGGUAAGAGAAACCUUGUGUCUUGGCAAGUAUGUAUGUAUGGGUGUCUGUCAGACAGAGAGUAAAAGAGAUGGAGAAAUAUGUUUUCUCCAUCUCUCCAUCGUUUAGUUUUUUAUUGUAUCAGUUGUUCCGAAACCAGCGCUUCGGUAUAUUCCAAACGUUUGCGGUAUGUUUCUUCUUCUAGGUCCCAAUAGGUUUACUGGCACCUUACAUAGUGUAAAUAAGAGAACAUGAGCCAAAAUGGACUGCAGUAAAUAAUGACAGGACGGUGAGGGGAAUGAAUAAAUCACAAAGCUAUGGCAGACAAAGACAGAGUACAAAAAUAAGAAAGCAAGAACAAUCUGAGAAGUGUGUGUUUGGAGGGGUGACAUUUCCAGAGGGAAGCAGAACUAAUGGAAGGGAACAUGAAAGAGAGAGAUGGAGAAAGACGGCCCUAGAUUCAAAGAGAGAGACAGAAAUGCUGAAGAAAGCUGACGAAGAGAGAGAUAAGCCAACCGCGCUAAGGCCCAGUAUUGUGACGGUAAGACUGCUAAUGCUGAGAUUGAUAACCGCACCAUAAGA
ensembl:lncRNA